rnacentral:rRNA from 1 species
AUUUAAAGUGGUACGCGAGCUGGGUUUAGAACGUCGUGAGACAGUUCGGUCCCUAUCUGCCGUGGGCGCUGGAGAACUGAGGGGGGCUGCUCCUAGUACGAGAGGACCGGAGUGGACGCAUCACUGGUGUUCGGGUUGUCAUGCCAAUGGCACUGCCCGGUAGCUAAAUGCGGAAGAGAUAAGUGCUGAAAGCAUCUAAGCACGAAACUUGCCCCGAGAUGAGUUCUCCCUGACCCUUUAAGGGUCCUGAAGGAACGUUGAAGACGACGACGUUGAUAGGCCGGGUGUGUAAGCGCAGCGAUGCGUUGAGCUAACCGGUACUAAUGAACCGUGAGGCUUAACCUU